rnacentral:lncRNA from 1 species
GCAUCUUUUGUCUAUAAAGUGAGCUGCUCGUUAUGUGUUGAUAAUUUUUUCUACUGCUGUUAUUUAGAAAGAUAUAACGUUAGCCAUGGAGAACUGCAAAUAUGUUGCGACUGCUCUCAAUAACAUUGCUGCCCUGAAUUUAUCAGGCACUAUCGACAAAGGUCAGUGGGAAAAAGUUGUGAUGGACUAUUUUCAGGAGGACGAUUGUACCAUGCUGAUUCUCUUUGACUCUUAUGGCAUUGCACACGGUCAGUGUGAACCAGAGUGACUUGACACAAUGGGCCAAGCAAGCUGUACAAACAAAAUGGACAUUACACAGGACGUCUUAUUUAAUAAAAGGGGUUGCAGUCUGCUGUGUAGCGUUCAUCCAUGUGUACAGCAUCAGUAGAACAAGCCUGACUCUCCUCCACCAGUCAUACAAGGAGAAUGAUCUAAUGCCUCCCAUCAAAAAGAGAGCUGGCCCAAGCAAGCACAGGUUACACCUGAAGCAUGAGGACUUGCAACGAGUUGUGAACUUCAUCAACAACUACGCAGAGGAUAAUGCAAUAGUAUUACCAGGACGCCACCCAGGAGACAAACACUUUGGUGGAAAGCUGCUGCCAUCUCAUAUGACAAAAGCAGCGGUGUGGCGUCUCUACAAAGAAUCGAUGACAACAGUUGUUGGGCUGUCUUCCUUUAGAAAUCUGUGGAAAAAAUUGCUGCCCCACAUCUCAAUCAC